GUGAGUAACACGUGGGCAACCUGCCUGUAAGACUGGGAUAACUUCGGGAAACCGGAGCUAAUACCGGAUAAUCCUUUCCCUCUCAUGAGGGAAAGCUGAAAGACGGUUUCGGCUGUCACUUACAGAUGGGCCCGCGGCGCAUUAGCUAGUUGGUGAGGUAACGGCUCACCAAGGCGACGAUGCGUAGCCAACCUGAGAGGGUGAUCGGCCACACUGGGACUGAGACACGGCCCAGACUCCUACGGGAGGCAGCAGUAGGGAAUCUUCCGCAAUGGACGAAAGUCUGACGGAGCAACGCCGCGUGAACGAUGAAGGCCUUCGGGUCGUAAAGUUCUGUUGUCAGAGAAGAACAAGUACCGGAGUAACUGCCGGUACCUUGACGGUACCUGACCAGAAAGCCACGGCUAACUACGUGCCAGCAGCCGCGGUAAUACGUAGGUGGCAAGCGUUGUCCGGAAUUAUUGGGCGUAAAGCGCGCGCAGGCGGUUCCUUAAGUCUGAUGUGAAAGCCCCCGGCUCAACCGGGGAGGGUCAUUGGAAACUGGGGAACUUGAGUGCAGAAAAGGAGAGCGGAAUUCCACGUGUAGCGGUGAAAUGCGUAGAGAUGUGGAGGAACACCAGUGGCGAAGGCGGCUCUCUGGUCUGUAACUGACGCUUAGGCGCGAAAGCGUGGGGAGCGAACAGGAUUAGAUACCCUGGUAGUCCACGCCGUAAACGAUGAGUGCUAAGUGUUAAAGGGUUUCCGCCCUUUAGUGCUGCAGCAAACGCAUUAAGCACUCCGCCUGGGGGAGUACGGCCGCAAGGCUGAAACUCAAAGGAAUUGACGGGGGCCCGCACAAGCGGUGGAGCAUGUGGUUUAAUUCGAAGCAACGCGAAGAACCUUACCAGGUCUUGACAUCCUCUGACAACCCUAGAAGAUAGGGCGUUUCCCUUC
rnacentral:rRNA from 1 species